GAGUUCCCUGGCUCCUGCUUGUUCCAUGAAAAGUACAACAUCACCAAAUGUAACAAAUAGGAAGGUAACCCUCAGAUUGUGAAGGACAACCUUGCCUUCAUUGAUUUCAUUUUGUCUAUAAGUCUUAUUGAUCUAAAAUUGAAAGGUUGGAAUUUUACAUGGAGCAACAGUACAUAGCAUCCAAGGUCCGCCGAAUCGGUAUCGAAAUACAUACUGGUUGGCGAAUGGAUCGAUACAGUACCGGUUCGGCA
rnacentral:lncRNA from 1 species